GACGAACGCUGGCGGCGUGCUUAACACAUGCAAGUCGAGCGGUAAGGCCCUUUCGGGGGUACGACGAGCGGCGAACGGGUGAGUAACACGUGGGUGACCUGCCCUCAGCUCUGGGAUAAGCCCGGGAAACUGGGUCUAAUACCGGAUAUGACUCCACGGUGCAUGUCGUGGGGUGGAAAGCCUUGUGCGGCUGAGGAUGGGCCCGCGGCCUAUCAGCUUGUUGGUGGGGUGAUGGCCUACCAAGGCGACGACGGUAGCCGGCCUGAGAGGGCGACCGGCCACACUGGGACUGAGACACGGCCCAGACUCCUACGGGAGGCAGCAGUGGGGAAUCUUGCGCAAUGGGCGAAAGCCUGACGCAGCGACGCCGCGUGAGGGAUGACGGCCU
rnacentral:rRNA from 1 species